rnacentral:tRNA from 1 species
AGGGAGACAACAAAAUGUUUAUAUUAUUAUUUUGUCACCUUAGGUCGAUCGGUAUCUCACGUUCUUAAUUUGUUAAGAAUUUCAUUUCCUAAGUUUUUCUAGGUCACACCCAUUAUUUUUCCUGGGCCAUUAGCUCAGGUGGUUAGAGCGCACCCCUGAUAAGGGUGAGGUCCCUGGUUCAAGUCCAGGAUGGCCCAUAUCUCUAUGUUGGGGGUAUAGCUCAGUUGGUAGAGCGCCUGCUUUGCAAGCAGGAUGUCAGCGGUUCGAGUCCGCUUACCUCCACUGAUUACCACCUCUUCCAUAAUCCGUAGAAAGGAAAUGUUUUGAGUUGUGAUCAUUAUUCUGAACGAAUCUAGCUUCCUAAUGAAAUCAUUAAGAUGCUGGACUCAUUGAAUUAAUUUCAUUGUUUUCAGAGAACCUUGACAACUGCAUAGAUUAUUUUUAAAGACAAUAAGCAUCUUUAAUGAUGCAGAUUUAUUAUUUGUGCGAAUGCAUUAAUAACAAUUCUAUUAAGCUGAUGCUUCAAUUUUUGAAGUUAUU